AUUAAAAUUUUGGAAAAUCACUCAAAAACAAACAAAAAA
rnacentral:sRNA from 1 species